UACAGAGGUCCCAAGCGUUGUUCGGAUUCAUUGGGCGUAAAGGGUGCGUAGGCGGCGCGGUAAGUCGGGUGUGAAAUCUCGGGGCUUAACUCCGAAACUGCAUUCGAUACUGCCGUGCUUGAGGACUGGAGAGGAGACUGGAAUUUACGGUGUAGCGGUGAAAAUGCGUAGAUAUCGUAAGGAAGACCAGUGGCGAAGGCGGGUCUCUGGACAGUUCUGACGCUGAGGCACGAAGGCCCAGGGGGAGCAAAACGGGAU
rnacentral:rRNA from 1 species